GCAUAUCAAUAAGCGGAGGAAAAGAAACCAACAGGGAUUGCCUUAGUAACGGCGAGUGAAGCGGCAAAAGCUCAAAUUUGAAAUCUGGUGCCUCUGGUGCCCGAGUUGUACUUUGGAGAGGCAUCUUCUGGAGGGACCCAGCCUAUGUGCCUUGGAACAGGACGUCAUAGAGGGUGAGAAUCCCGUCCUUGGCUGGAUGUUCCCUCCUGUAUGUAGUGUCUUCAACGAGUCGAGUUGUUUGGGAAUGCAGCUCAAAAUGGGUGGUAAAUUUCAUCUAAAGCUAAAUAUUGGCGAGAGACCGAUAGCGCACAAGUAGAGUGAUCGAAAGAUGAAAAGCACUUUGAAAAUAGAGUCAAACAGUACGUGAAAUUGUUGAAAGGGAAGCGCUUGAGACCAGAGUCAGCCUUUGGCAAACAACUGUCCUUCUGGGUGGUGCACUUGUCAUUGGUUGGGCCAGCAUCGGUUGGGACGGCAGGAUAAAGGCCCAGGGAAUGUGACUCCUUUAUGGAGUGUUAUAGCCCCAGGUGGCAUGCUGUCAGCCCCGACCGUGGACCGCGCCUCGGCUCGGAUGCUGGCUUAAUGGUCUUCAGCGACCCGUCUUGAAACACGGACCAAGGAGUCUAACGUCUAUGCAAGUGUUUGGGCUCCAAACCCUCACGCGUAAUGAAAGUAAACGGAGGUGGGAACCCCGCAAGGGGUGCACCAUCGACCGAUCCUGAUGUCUUCGGAUGGAUUUGAGUAGGAGCAUAGCUGUUGGGACCCGAAAGAUGGUGAACUAUGCCUGAAUAGGGUGAAGCCAGAGGAAACUCUGGUGGAGGCUCGCAGCGGUUCUGACGUGCAAAUCGAUCGUCAAAUUUGGGUAUAGGGGCGAAAGACUAAUCGAACCAUCUAGUAGCUGGUUCCUGCGA
rnacentral:rRNA from 1 species